AUGAACGCUAGCUACAGGCUUAACACAUGCAAGUCGAGGGGCAGCGGGAUUGAAGCUUGCUUCAAUUGCCGGCGACCGGCGCACGGGUGAGUAACGCGUAUCCAACCUUCCGCUUACUCGGGGAUAGCCUUUCGAAAGAAAGAUUAAUACCCGAUGGUAUCUUAAGCACGCAUGAGAUUAAGAUUAAAGAUUUAUCGGUAAGCGAUGGGGAUGCGUUCCAUUAGGCAGUUGGCGGGGUAACGGCCCACCAAACCUACGAUGGAUAGGGGUUCUGAGAGGAAGGUCCCCCACAUUGGAACUGAGACACGGUCCAAACUCCUACGGGAGGCAGCAGUGAGGAAUAUUGGUCAAUGGGCGAGAGCCUGAACCAGCCAAGUAGCGUGAAGGAUGACGGCCCUACGGGUUGUAAACUUCUUUUGUGCGGGAAUAAAGGAACCUACGUGUAGGUUUUUGCAUGUACCGUAACGAAUAAGCAUCGGCUAACUCCGUGCCAGCAGCCGCGGUAAUACGGAGGAUGCGAGCGUUAUCCGGAUUUAUUGGGUUUAAAGGGAGCGUAGACGGGUUUUUAAGUCAGCUGUGAAAGUUUGGGGCUCAACCUUAAAAUUGCAGUUGAAACUGGAGACCUUGAGUACGGUUGAGGCAGGCGGAAUUCGUGGUGUAGCGGUGAAAUGCUUAGAUAUCACGAAGAACCCCGAUUGCGAAGGCAGCCUGCUAAGCCGCCACUGACGUUGAGGCUCGAAAGUGCGGGUAUCAAACAGGAUUAGAUACCCUGGUAGUCCAUGCCGUAAACGAUGAUUACUAGGUGUUGGAGGAUUGACCCCUUCAGUGCCGCAGUUAACACAAUAAGUAAUCCACCUGGGGAGUACGACCGCAAGGUUGAAACUCAAAGGAAUUGACGGGGGCCCGCACAAGCGGUGGAGCAUGUGGUUUAAUUCGAAGCAACGCGAAGAACCUUACCAAGUCUUGACAUCCUGCGACGAUGCUGGAAACAGUAUUUUCCUUCGGGACGCAGAGACAGGUGGUGCAUGGUUGUCGUCAGCUCGUGCCGUGAGGUGUCGGCUUAAGUGCCAUAACGAGCGCAACCCUUGCUGCCAGUUACUAACAGGUCAUGCUGAGGACUCUGGCAGGACUGCCAUCGUAAGAUGCGAGGAAGGUGGGGAUGACGUCAAAUCAGCACGGCCCUUACGUCCGGGGCUACACACGUGUUACAAUGGGGAGUACAGAGGGCAGCUACCGGGCGACCGGAUGCGAAUCCCGAAAGCUCCUCUCAGUUCGGACUGGAGUCUGCAACCCGACUCCACGAAGCUGGAUUCGCUAGUAAUCGCGCAUCAGCCACGGCGCGGUGAAUACGUUCCCGGGCCUUGUACACACCGCCCGUCAAGCCAUGAAAGCCGGGGGUACCUGAAGUACGUAACCGCGAGGAUCGUCCUAGGGUAAAACCGGUAAUUGGGGCU
rnacentral:rRNA from 1 species